AUUUUUGCACCUGUUUGCCAUUCACAACAUUGGUGGUUAUGGUUGGCUGAUACAAGAAAGCGGAAAUUUUAUAUAGUCGACCCAUAUCACAUGAAAUCUCCAUCCGAUGAGAGAACUGCCCUGAAUACAUUCAUUGGAUAUGUAAUUUCACGAAUUAAAGUAUAUGCUGGGGGCACCUCUGAAGACAAGGGACAAGGACAAGAAAAUUGAACCACCAUACCUUAACAUCUUGGGCCAAAAGACAAGCUAUGACUGUGCUAUCUACGUAAUGAAGUGGCUUGAGAUAUUUCAGCCCGAAAACAUUAAAAGGCAGAAGUAUGAGUGGGACAAUUGGACCCAGG